rnacentral:rRNA from 1 species
GAUGAACGCUGGCGGCGCGCCUAACACAUGCAAGUCGAACGAUUAAAGCACCUUCGGGUGUGUAUAAAGUGGCGAACGGCUGAGUAACACGUGGACAACCUGCCCCUUUCAUUGGGAUAGCCACGGGAAACCGUGGAUAAUACCGAAUACUUCGAGACUUCCGCAUGGAAGACUCGAGAAAGCUCCGGCGGAGAGGGAUGGGCCCGCGGCCUGUUAGCUUGUUGGUGGGGUAACGGCCUACCAAGGCAAUGAUGGGUAGCUGGGUUGAGAGACCGACCAGCCAGAUUGGGACUGAGACACGGCCCAGACUCCUACGGGAGGCAGCAGUGGGGAAUCUUGCACAAUGGGCGAAAGCCUGAUGCAGCGACGCCGCGUGCGGGAUGAAGGCCUUCGGGUUGUAAACCGCUUUCAGCAGGGACGAGGCGAAAGUGGCGGUACCUGCAGAAGAAGCCCCGGCUAACUACGUG